CCUACGGGUGGCUGCAGUGGGGAAUAUUGCACAAUGGGCGCAAGCCUGAUGCAGCCAUGCCGCGUGUGUGAAGAAGGCCUUCGGGUUGUAAAGCACUUUCAGCGGGGAGGAAGGCGUUAAGGUUAAUAACCUUGGCGAUUGACGUUACCCGCAGAAGAAGCACCGGCUAACUCCGUGCCAGCAGCCGCGGCAAUACGGAGGGUUCAAGCGUUAAUCGGAAUUACUGGGCGUAAAGCGCACGCAGGCGGUCUGUCAAGUCGGAUGUGAAAUCCCCGGGCUCAACCUGGGAACUGCAUUCGAAACUGGCAGGCUAGAGUCUUGUAGAGGGGGGUAGAAUUCCAGGUGUAGCGGUGAAAUGCGUAGAGAUCUGGAGGAAUACCGGUGGCGAAGGCGGCCCCCUGGACAAAGACUGACGCUCAGGUGCGAAAGCGUGGGGAGCAAACAGGAUUAGAUACCCCAGUAGUC
rnacentral:rRNA from 1 species